UACGUAGGGAGCAAGCGUUGUCCGGAAUCAUUGGGCGUAAAGCGCGCGUAGGUGGCCAUGUAAGUCCGCUGUGAAAGUCAAAGGCUCAACCUUUGAAAGCCGGUGGAUACUGCAUGGCUAGAGUACGGAAGAGGAGAGUGGAAUUCCCGGUGUAGCGGUGAAUGACGCAGAUAUCGGGAAGAACACCCGUGGCGAAGGCGGCUCUCUGGGACGGUACUGACGCUGAGACGGCGAAAGCGUGGGGAGCGAAACAGGAUUAGAAUCCCGUAGUA
rnacentral:rRNA from 1 species